UACGGAGGGAGGCUAGCGUUGUUCGGAAUUACUGGGCGUAAAGCACACGUAGGCGGCUUUGCAAGUUAGAGGUGAAAGCCUGGGGCUCAACUCCAGAACUGCCUUUAAAACUGCAUCGCUUGAAUCCAGGAGAGGUGAGUGGAAUUCCGAGUGUAGAGGUGAAAUUCGUAGAUAUUCGGAAGAAACACCAGUGGCGAAGGCGGCUCACUGGACUGGUAUUGACGCUGAGGUGCGAAAGCGUGGGGAGCAAACAGGG
rnacentral:rRNA from 1 species